GUUUGGUUAAGUUAGAAAGGGCGCACGGUGGAUGCCUUGACACUAGGAGUCGAUGAAGGACGGGACUAACGCCGAUAUGCUUCGGGGAGCUGUAAGUAAGCUUUGAUCCGAAGAUUUCCGAAUGGGGAAACCCACCAUACGUAAUGGUAUGGUAUCCUUAUCUGAAUACAUAGGGUAAGGAAGACAGACCCAGGGAACUGAAACAUCUAAGUACCUGGAGGAAGAGAAAGCAAAUGCGAUUUCCUGAGUAGCGGCGAGCGAAACGGAAUCUAGCCCAAACCAAGAGGC
rnacentral:rRNA from 1 species